rnacentral:lncRNA from 1 species
UGGUGGUUCAAAUUGAAUAUCAUCCAGUUUCAUCCUAAAUAUAGUAUAUUUAAUCUUUUUUUCUCCACAAAGGAAAAUGUAGUGAGAAGCAUGCUUUUUUUUUUUUUUUCCUCACACUCUUUUUUUGGUUAAUUUAAACAUGCAAUUUGGUCAAUUUUUACUCUUGCUUGCAAGGUUAACUAUAGGUCAGCACUGUUUGUUUCUUUAAUAUUGACUUAACUCUGACUGCUGUUGACAUUUUUUAAGGUCUAUUUCUUUUAAUACUACAUAAUUUAAGGGGAAAAAUCAAGACUAAUUAGUUGUUAAUGAGAAACACGUAUAAUGAGAAACAAAUGUAACAUUAAUGUCAUGUACAAUGUAUAUCUGUGUGGUUUAAAAGGUAGGAACAUGGCCAUUAUUCAAAAUUAGGGAAUAAAAUCAUUGUAAUAAUUACUAGCAGAUGUGUUGUAACUUGUCUUGCAAGUCAAAAUUUCUUUAGACGAUAUGUUGCAGUGUUUUAUAGUAAGCAUUUGAUAUGGUUUUUUGGAAGGGUUUAUACAUUUUCUUUUAAUCACAAUCUCUUUUAAUCUAGCUGCCUGGCAUCUAUAGAAGAUUGGAAAAGAUUUAAGCUACUGUUUUCUCUUCUGUACAACUUUAUUAUCCCUCACAGGUCUUGAAAUAUAUGGCCUAUAAAAUCAUUCUCUUUGGGAAAGAAUUGCAGACAAGUCAUCAUCCUUUGAGGAUAAGUUCGAUUAAAAGGGUUACUGAAUUUCUUCUGUGGUGUAUUUCAUAAAAGAGAAGAUGCUGAUAAGAUCCCGUUUAAAUGGCUUGCUAAUACCAGAAGCAGAUCAUUUAAAAUGGACCUUACAUCUUUAUAGGAUGUUAGAAAUGAAGACAUUACCUCAAAAUGUAGGUCCAUUUAUGAACUAUAAGAAGGAUUCAGUAUGUGUCAUCAUUUUCAUAAAAGGAAGGAAAUCAGCAAAGUAGCCCAACUCUCUGGGGAAGAUGCAAUGUCAACAAUUAGGAAGAAUGUAAUUUAUCUUGUGCCAAAGAGGUCCAACAGUGAAUCCCAAUCAGACAAAUACCACUAAAAUGAUGACAAACACAAAAAAAUCAUCAACCUGUAAGGCAAAAGAGGAUGGGUGGAACUGAGGAGGACAGAUAAUAAAUAGCAGGUAAAUGGAGAUCAAUAUGAUAUUUUAAAAUAUAGGUAAAAUGGACAAGUGGCAACUCACUAAGCAAACUAGAAAAAUCUGAAAUUUUAGUUCACAUUUUGUGGAGGAAAUCAAUCAAGAAAUCAUCCUAUUUAUCUCACAGAAACUAGGGAUUGACAAUAAUGGGUAUAUUGGAAUAUGGGCUAUAGUGG